CCUGUUAGCGACUACGCAAUUGGAUGCUGGAGCACAGAGAAAUCCACAAUGCAGUUUUAAUUUAAGAAAUUUUGUCCUCUACUCCAUGCCAUUAACGAAAUUGGAGGAGCUUUCGUAUGAGUUCACAGCUGAAGAUCUCGCAUACCACAAGCUCUAUAACUGAGGGUCCUCGUCCUCAACACCAUUUUCCAUUUUCCAUCUACCGCUCCAUUCGAAGAUACGCCGUUGUUACGAACAGAGUUACGUGUCACAAAGAAGCUGCAUCAGUUGCUUCCUGGGUCAAUCUCAUGAGUUCUUGGUCUCUCAGUAAUCUCAAUGGCUGAUUCCAUCUCUGAUCUGCUGGUUGAUGCUCCAGGACUGAAACCAGCAUGCUCAAGAUCAGCAGAAGAAGGUGUUCCCAUCUGCUCCUCAAACACAUUGCGAGCUUCAGUAUGGUCUGAAUAGACUGAUGGGCUUGGGGGGAAGUUGGUGUUGACUUCAAGUUCUCUCUUCUUAAAAGUAAACGACUUGAGGUCCUUGUUGUCGUAAAUUCUUAACAUGAUAAGAAAUCUUUUCCACAAUGAGGCCUCUGGAUCGAGUUGCUUGAAGAUGUCCUUGUGUUCAUACAAGAACAUGGCAGCAAAGAUGAGCAGAGCUAGUGUUGAAGCAACACCAGCAAUGAGAAAGAGGCCCCAGAAGCUCUCAAGGCUGAGACUAUUGGAAGAGACCAAGCUGUUGGGGUCUACACAAUUUUGUUUCUUGAACCACCUAUCCUCAAUGACUUUCGUUUGGUUUCCCUCGUUCACAUUUAAGAUUCCCCUCGAAACGUCGCGAGCAAGAGGGGAGCCUUUUGGGAAGACCUGCAAGUUGUAGAAUCAAAGGAAACAAAACAAUCCCUGAUGAGAAAACAUGGUGGAUCAACAUCAAAGAGAGACAUAAGGAGAAAAAGCAGGUGAACUUACAAAAGCAAAACCAUCGGCUUUAAAUGUCGGAUCAACCAUGGUGUAUUUGGAGCAAUAUGUUGCAAGAAACAGUUUCAUGUAAGGUGUUUCAUCAAAUGCUGCAGAAAUGCCAUUUUUUCUACUCCCAUUUUGAAAAAGUUGAUUCAACUCUUCUGGUGUAUUAAAGGUCUUAAGAUUUUCAUCCUGAAA